AAGGGAUCUCACUGGUUAAGAACCGUUGCUCUAACUGCCUUUCUCUCUUUCCCAGAAAUUAGCCCAUGCCUGUCUAUAGCUGACAGGCUCUUACUAUAAAAGUGAGAGCACACAGAUGUAGGAGAGGAGCAAACCCAGGCCCUUUCCCUGGCAACUACAAGGGGAUUUCUCUGCAGAUUUGAAUCUUCAGGACCCCUGCCACACUGCACAGGGCAUCCACCUCUCCUGACGAG
rnacentral:lncRNA from 1 species